CACCGCCUGGGGAGUACGACCGCAAGGUUAAAACUCAAAUGAAUUGACGGGGACCCGCACAAGUAGUGGAGCAUGUGGUUUAAUUCGAAGAUACGCGCAGAACCUUACCAACACUUGACAUGUUCGUCGCGACUUUAAGAGAUUAAAGUUUUCGGUUCGGCCGGACGAAACACAGGUGCUGCAUGGCUGUCGUCAGCUCGUGUCGUGAGAUGUUGGGUUAAGUCCCGCAACGAGCGCAACCCUCACUUUUAGUUGCCAUCAUUAAGUUGGGCACUCUGAAAGAACUGCCAGUGAUAAGCUGGAGGAAGGUGGGGAUGACGUCAAGUCCUCAUGGCCCUUACGUGUUGGGCUACACACGUGCUACAAUGGUAUCUACAACAGGAAGCAAAACUGCGGGGUUAAGCAAAUCCUUAAAAGAUACCUCAGUUCGGAUUGCACUCUGCAACUCGAGUGCAUGAAGCUGGAAUUACUAGUAAUCGUGGAUCAGCGUGCCACGGUGAAUGCGUUCCCGGGUCUUGUACACACCGCCCGUCACACCAUGGGAGUUGGUUCUACCUUAAGGCAAGGUUUCAAACCCUUGACCACGGUAUAGUCAGCGACUGGGGUGAAGUCGUAACAAGGUAGCCGUAGGGGAACCUGCGGCUGGAUUACCUCCUUCCUAAGGAUGAGUGAAAGUAAAAUUUCACUCUAAAUAAUAUACAGGUAAUGUUGACCGUCCUCAUUUCUCUUCUUAAAGUAGUGUUUCUCUUGCAUGGGGGCCGGUAGCUCAGUUGGUUAGAGCACACCCUUGAUAAGGGUGGGGUCGAAAGUUCGAGUCUUUCUCGGCCCACCAAUUUAAGAUCAUGGGGGAUUAGCUCAGCUGGGAGAGCGCCUGAUUUGCAUUCAGGAGGUCAGCGGUUCGAUCCCGCUAUCCUCCACCAAACACUUAGUUAUGAAAAUAGUGAAUAUAUUAAAAUUAAUAUCAAUAUCUAUAUCCGAACAUUAGUAAUGUUAUUAGCUAAUGUUCAAAUAAAAAUUUGAUUCAACACAGAAUUUUUUUCUG
rnacentral:sRNA from 1 species